ACAAACUCGGGGUCAGAGCGGCUGCUCUGGUUUCUCACGUUUUUUCCACCUCAGUGUUUAGUUGUGUUUUAGUUGCGUUUUUCUUGCCAAAACUAUGGAUGAACAACGGGCUGCUGUGGAAAACACAGCGGGAACACGUUUGUUGGUGAAAGUGGAAGCUUUAGAGAAAACGCAUUCAUCUGCUGAUGAGGAGGACAAGCAGCGUCACAUCCAGAGACACGAGCACAAAGGGAUCUUCACGUUUGAUCCCGAGUCAAAAAUGGAGAAUCUCACUACGACGAGGGAAGAUUUUGCUGCUCCUAAAAAGCUGGGGUGAGAAGAUGAAGGCUGACACGUACCCUACGACGCCUGAAAGCGUCUACCGCACC
rnacentral:lncRNA from 1 species